GCAAACAGAUAUCCAAGGUGAUCAAUUUAGCACACUUCCACUGAAGAGAUGUGAAGUGUACGUUCAACUGAAUUGUCCUCGUAAUUGUGUGCCUUCUCAGUAAUUGGGCAAGUUAAAGAGCAUGAUGAGUGUUUGUAGUAUAAUGGUGUAAAUCCUUUUGAUUUGUUGCAUGAAAGACAUGUGGGAUCAUGUGGCACCUGCUUUGAGAUUGAUUCUCAGGUGUAUGAGUUGCUUCUCUGAUUUUAGAUCACUUUGUCCUCAUCACUCGGCAUAUCCACGUUGAUACUGACACGGUUUUAUUUUAGUUUUGGACAUAUGACAAAUCAUACCAUGUUUGAAAUUCUAAGACUAUAUUUCAUGGAGCCUGUGUUCCCUUUUCUCAGCGUAUUUCUGUCAUGUUCUAGUCCCCAGACACAAAGUAGAAACCAUCAAAGCCUACGCUAAUACAGGCAGGAGGACAGAGGUUGAUGCUAACACUGCAUGAAUGUGUGGAUAAUAUUGUCAUUUUUACAUAUGAGUGAUUAUGAAUCCCUUUUACUUUUCAGUGUCUUCUGAGAAACCAUCAGGCUUGAAGGUAAUGAAACUGUCAUUUAUAUUGUGACCUAGUAAAUGUAUAGUCUAUGAAACAUACUUUAUUAAUUUAUUACUUUAUUUCAAAUUCCAUUCAGGCUACAAGUAACGAGAAAGAUUCUCUUUUGAAUAUAGCCAGAGGAAAAAAGCAUGGAGAAAAAACUAGGAGAGUGUCUUCUCGGAAAAAACCAGCCUUGAAGGCUACAAGUGAUGGGAAAGAUUCUUUUUCAAAUAUAACCAGAGAAAGAAAGGAUGGAGAAAUAUCUAGGACAGUGUCUUCUCAUAAACAACCAGCCUUGAAGGCUACAAGUGACAAGGAAGAUUCUAUUCCAAAUAUAGCCACAAAAACAAAGGACGAACAAAUAUCUGGGACAGUGUCUUCUCAGAAACAACCAGCCUUGAAGGCUACAAGUGACAAGAAAGAUUCUGUUUCGAAUAUACCCACAGAAAUAAAGGAUGGACAACACUCUGGAACAGUGUCUUCUCAGAAACAACCAGCCUGGAAGGCUACAAGUGUCAAGAAAGAUUCUGUUCGGAAUAUAGCCACAGAAAUAAAGGAUGGACAAAUACCUGGGACAGUGUCUUCUCAGAGACGACCAGCCUUGAAGGCUACAGGUGAUGAGAAAGAUUCUGUUUCGAAUAUAGCCAGAAAAAUAAAGGAUGGAGAAAAAUCUGGGACAGUGUCUCCUCAGAAACAAUCGGCCCAGAAGGUUAUAUUUAAAAAGAAAGUUUCUCUUUCGAAUAUUGCCACAAGAAUAACAGGCGGUUGGAAAUCUGGAACAGAGUAUCCUGAGAAUCUGCCCACCUUGAAGGCUACAAUUGAAAAUAAAGAUUCUGUUCUGAAUACAGCCACCAAAAUGAAGGAUGUACAAACAUCCACACCAGCAGAACAAGACUUAGAAAUGGCAUCAGAGGGAGAGCAAAAGAGGCUUGAAGAAUAUGAAAAUAACCAGCCACAGGUGAAAAACCAAAUACAUUCUAGGGAUGACCUUGAUGACAUAAUUCAGUCAUCUCAAACAGUCUCAGAGGACAGUGACUCGCUUUGCUGUAAUUGUAAGAAUGUCAUAUUACUCAUUGAUCAACAUGAAAUGAAGUGCAAAGGUAGGACCAAUGCAUAAAUAUAAGGCUUUUAAAAAAUCCUAUAGCAAUGUAUGCACACAUUGCUUAGCACUGUACCAUAGAGUACUGAUAUGUUACAAGAAUGUUCAUCUCAGAAAUAUGCCUUAUGUUAAAAUAGAAUGAAAGCAACUGUAUCUUGUACCUUCUCAGCCAAAGAGCUAUGAUCAUUUCACUGUACUUUUCUCAGUGUGAAUGGCACGCCCAAUGUGUUUGUUUACUCUGCUUCUCGUCUAUGCCAUUACCCAUUUACCCGUGGUCAUGUUACCAUUUCUUCCCACCUGAAAUACUGUGAUAACCCUCUAACUGUCUUUCCUACUAUUCCACCUUCCAAAACCAUGGCCUGUUCUGCAAUCAUAAUUAUAUAGUUGUAAAAAAUCACACCUGAUCAUGUUACCUGCUUGCUGAAAACCCAGCUGCCAUUUAUUGCUAUAAGGUAUGGAUCUCAGUCCUCGAGCUUUAUACUGCAUCAUUGCAUACCCUUCUCUGUGCCACAGCCAGUGCCUUAGGUGUUUGCUCCUACAAUCAGUAGCUUUAGUGUGGUAUAAUUGAUAUGUGAUACAGUGCACACAUGUAAAAGGUACCAUUUGAUAAGUUUUAACAGAUGUAUACACAUGUGAAACUAUUACCAUCAUCGAGAUAGUCAACAUAUAUCCAUCACCCGCUAAUUUCUCCUCAUGGCCCUUCAUAUUCCUGUUUUUAAAAGCUGCUAAAUGGUUUUCCAAAAUAUUUGUACUAUUUUCUAUUCUCAUCAGCAGUAAAUGACCAUUCCAGUUGCUAUGUUGUCACACUACUGCUGUAUUUACUUUUUUAAAUUUUAGUUAUUCUGAUGGGUAUAUUAUGUAUAUUUUUAUGGGUUUAAUGUACACAAUCCUAAUGACUAAAAUGUUGAGCAUCUUUCCUUUAUUUGCCAUCUGUACAUCUUUGUUGAACUGUCUUUUCACAUCUUUUGCAUAUAAAAAAGUAGGUUGAUGUUUUCUUACUUGUUGAGUUUUAAUAAUUCUGUAUGUAUUUGGAUACUAUUACUUUUUAGCUACUUUUUUACAAGGGUAUUUUUGCCAGUUUUUGGGUUGACUUUUCACUUGCUUUGUAGUAUCUUUUGAAGAGCAGAAGAUUUUAAUCGUAAUGAAAUCCAAUUUAAUUGUUGAAUUACAGAUUUUGCAUUUUGUGUCAUAUGUAAAAAAUGUUGGCCUAGCACAAGGUCACAAAGAUUUUUCCUGUGUUUGUUCUAGAAAUUUUAUAGAUUUGUAUCUUCCAUUUAAAUCUGUGCUCCAUUUUGAGUUUCCUUUUGUCUAUGGAGUGAGGUGAGGUAUGGAUUCAAGUUCACUUUUUGGAUAUGGACAGCCAAUUGUUCCAACACCACAUGUUGAAAAGGCUAUCCUUUCUCCACUGCAUUGCCAUCCUGCCUUUGUCAGUCAUAAGCUGGUUGCAUAUGUGUUAUCUAUUUCUGGACUGUCUGUUGAAUUUUAUUAAUUUGCAGAAUGCUCCCGAAAUCUGUGGGAAACCCAGUGUUAUGACAAAAGCAAUUUAAUACUUCAGUAAACCCACUGUAAAGUCAAUAAGUCAAACCACCUUAAGUUGGGGAUUGUCUGAAUUUGACUUCUUUAUACAGGUGAGACAUUGCUA
rnacentral:lncRNA from 1 species